UAUGUGAUCGUCUCUUGCAUAUCAAUAAGCGGAGGAAAAGAAACUAACAAGGAUUCCCCUAGUAACGGCGAGUGAAGCGGGAAGAGCUCAAAUUUGAAAUCUUAAAGGGUUUCCCUUUACGAAUUGUAGUUUAAGGAAGUGUUUUCUGUUGAGGUUUUGGUAAAAGUUCUUUGGAAUAGGACAUCAUAGAGGGUGAGAAUCCCGUAUUUGACCUUUACUUUCAACUUUGUGAUACACUUUCAAAGAGUCGGAUUGUUUGGGAAUGCAGUCCAAAAUGGGUGGUAAAUUUCAUCUAAAGCUAAAUAUUGGCGAGAGACCGAUAGCGAACAAGUACCGUAGAGGGAAAGAUGAAAAGAACUUUGAAAAGAGAGUUAAACAGUACGUGAAAUUGUCAAAAGGGAAGCGUUUGACACCAGUGUUGUUUUUCUGAAAAUCAAUUAAAGAACCGUUUAUGCUAAGUUGUUUAGACUUUAUCAGCUAACUGUUUAGUUUUGAGCUUUUCUUUAAUGCACUUUUCAGUUAACAAGUCAACAUCAAUUUCUUUUGCUGUAAAAAAGCUUGAGGAAGGUGGCUUGAGAUUCGUCUUAAGUGUUUAUAGCCUCUUGCCUAUGCAGUCGGAGAGAUUGAGGUCUGCAGCGUAGAUCCUUCGGGGCUAAAUGCAUUUGUGCUAAGUUAUAGCAUUUUAUAGACAACUUGUUGACUAUGAUUUGUCUUGUAGCUUACUCGCUUAUGUUAUUUUACCUACGCUUAGGAUGUUGAAGUCAUCGUAUCGCGC
rnacentral:rRNA from 1 species